rnacentral:rRNA from 1 species
UGCAGUCGAACGGUGAAAGAGGAGCUUGCUCCUCUGGAUCAGUGGCGAACGGGUGAGUAACACGUGAGUAACCUGCCCCAGACUCUGGGAUAAGCACUGGAAACGGUGUCUAAUACCGGAUACGAGCUUCAGCCGCAUGGCUAGGAGCUGGAAAGAAUUUCGGUCUGGGAUGGACUCGCGGCCUAUCAGCUAGUUGGUGAGGUAAUGGCUCACCAAGGCGACGACGGGUAGCCGGCCUGAGAGGGUGACCGGCCACACUGGGACUGAGACACGGCCCAGACUCCUACGGGAGGCAGCAGUGGGGAAUAUUGCACAAUGGGCGCAAGCCUGAUGCAGCAACGCCGCGUGAGGGACGACGGCCUUCGGGUUGUAAACCUCUUUUAGUAGGGAAGAAGCGAAAGUGACGGUACCUGCAGAAAAAGCACCGGCUAACUACGUGCCAGCAGCCGCGGUAAUACGUAGGGUGCAAGCGUUAUCCGGAAUUAUUGGGCGUAAAGAGCUCGUAGGCGGUUUGUCGCGUCUGCUGUGAAAACUGGAGGCUCAACCUCCAGCCUGCAGUGGGUACGGGCAGACUAGAGUGCGGUAGGGGAGAUUGGAAUUCCUGGUGUAGCGGUGGAAUGCGCAGAUAUCAGGAGGAACACCGAUGGCGAAGGCAGAUCUCUGGGCCGUAACUGACGCUGAGGAGCGAAAGCAUGGGGAGCGAACAGGAUUAGAUACCCUGGUAGUCCAUGCCGUAAACGUUGGGAACUAGAUGUAGGGACCAUUCCACGGUUUCUGUGUCGCAGCUAACGCAUUAAGUUCCCCGCCUGGGGAGUACGGCCGCAAGGCUAAAACUCAAAGGAAUUGACGG